rnacentral:rRNA from 1 species
CAGGACGAACGCUGGCGGCGUGCCUAAUACAUGCAAGUCGAACGGUCUUUCUAUGGAAGCUUGCUUCCACUGAGAAGAUAGUGGCGAACGGGUGAGUAACACGUGGGUAACCUGCCCAUAAGAGGGGGGAUAACAUCCGGAAACGGGUGCUAAUACCGCAUAGUUUUCUUGAUCGCAUGAUCGGGAAGGAAAGACGGCCUUUGUGCUGUCGCUUAUGGAUGGACCCGCGGCGUAUUAGUUAGUUGGUGAGGUAACGGCUCACCAAGACGAUGAUACGUAGCCGACCUGAGAGGGUGAUCGGCCACAUUGGGACUGAGACACGGCCCAAACUCCUACGGGAGGCAGCAGUAGGGAAUCUUCCGCAAUGGACGAAAGUCUGACGGAGCAACGCCGCGUGAGUGAAGAAAGGUUUUCGGAUCGUAAAACUCUGUUGUCAGAGAAGAACAAGUUGGAGAGUAACUGCUCCAGCCUUGACGGUAUCUGACCAGAAAGCCACGGCUAACUACGUGCCAGCCGCCGC